rnacentral:rRNA from 1 species
GACGAACGCUGGCGGCGUGCUUAACACAUGCCAGUCGAACGGAAAGGCCCCUUUGGGGGUCCUCGAGUGGCGAACGGGUGAGUAACACGUGAGUAACCUGCCCAUGACUUCGGGAUAACUUCAGGAAACUGGGGCUAAUACCGGAUAGGAAUCCUUGCUGCAUGGUGGGGGUUGGAAAGCUUCGGCGGUUUUGGAUGGACUCGCGGCUUAUCAGCUUGUUGGUGGGGGAGUGGCUUACCAAGGCUUUGACGGGUAGCCGGCCUGAGAGGGCGACCGGCCACAUUGGGACUGAGAUACGGCCCAGACUCCUACGGGAGGCAGCAGUGGGGAAUAUUGCACAAUGGGCGGAAGCCUGAUGCAGCAACGCCGCGGGCGGGAGGACGGCCUUCGGGUUGUAAACCGCUUUCAGCAGGGGCGAAGCUUGUGGUGACGGUACCUGCAGAAGAAGCACCGGCUAACUACGUG